GCUCUUCUCGGGGAGUGGAGUGCUAUGACAGAUGAGACUUUCAUGCAAGAAAAUAAAUCCUGCACAUUUGAUGUACUGCUUUAAACUUAAAGACCUCUUUGGACCCGAAAUUGUAAGGAUUCUAUAAACCUGGAGAGUAAUCCUAAGAAAAAUCAUCAGAAGAAAGGAAUUUGUAGAACUAAAACUGCAAACAUCCAGAAUCUUGAUGGUGUGCCAAGCCAAAUGUCAACUGGAACUCAACCAAAAACUAAACAUCGACUGUUGCAAUAAAUUCUCCACUCCGCAGACCUGGGCAGCCCACACCUGUGCCAGAAAUUAUGCACCAGAUGGCAACUGAAAAUGACUGGAUAUCUAUGAGAAGAGGAUAUUUAGAGAAAAUACACAUUUACAAGUAAAGCAAGGUGCUCUCUGAUAACAGACCCAAAGAAAGAGUGGGUAAGUCUCCCUGAGAAAAUGUUUUCCUGUUUAUGUAUAAAAGUUGUUUGGAGAGCUUUGCCUCAUCCCUAUAAAUUUAAACAUGCCAUAAGUGUUGCUGAAUCAUGGAUGCAAAGUUGAUGGAUACAGUAUGAUGUUAAAUCAGAAUUUGACCUGCAUUUUGAAAAUUGGAAAAGUUCAUUGGGUUUUCUCUGGUCCUCAUGCAGCCAUGCUGCUGAGUUUAUCUCCAUUUUGUAAAGUUGAUUUUACACAGAAAGAAGUUGCUUUGCAUAACCAGUCUUUAUCUUGAAAUGUACCUUGUAAGUUAAAUAGGAAUUAAAUAAAAGAUUGCACCUUUACUGAAACAUCUGCUUCGAAGGUAAGGCCUCUUGAAAAUAAGGCAUAUAUGAGGGUAGUGGUUUA
rnacentral:lncRNA from 1 species